rfam:Beggiatoa sp. 4572_84 ex4572_84_scaffold_3548, whole genome shotgun sequence.
ACCAGCGCAAUGCGGUGAAAGCUGCACGUUGCGUUCGGUGGAAUGGAAGGUAGUUGUUGUCCUAAUGGGUAAACUUAGGAAAUGGCUACCCAUCCUAC